rnacentral:lncRNA from 1 species
CCUGAUCCAUCAUCACAUAAUUAUUCGUAGGAAUUUCAUAUUCUAAUCUUAUCAAUGAAGGACUUGCUGUCUAGUCCCUUACUGUAGAAGUUGUCGUCGUAUUCUUGCUUUGUAAAGUUGCGAUAAAUUGCAGGUUUUUCAGGAGACAGCAACUCUGGUAGAGGUCCAUAAGAGUCGGACUCUUUCCAUUUCGCUAAACUGAAGAACAUCACAAUCGAGAUCCGUGGCUCUUUACAGGGGUUGGCUAUCACUCGAUGUUGUAUACUAUUGUACUCACCGUUCGACACUAUCUGCCAUGGUCCCAUACGAUCACCAGUUAGAAAUUAAAAACACAAACAAAUAUGAAUAAUGAUCAUGAGUUACCUGGAGAAAGUCGCCAGCGUUGAUAAUCAACCCACCAGGAACAGGCUUUACAUCCACCCAUUCAUCCCCAUGCCUCACCUGCAACCCAGGGACAUGGUUCUGCAACAAAACCGUCAGAACCGUCGGAUCCGUGUGAGAUGCAAGCCCCAUCGUCAGAUCAGGCUGUGGACAGUGGGGAUAGCAUACCCCCACAAAAAGCCUAGUAUCAGAAAAUGUCAACUCCUUAAACUUGCCGGGUUCUAACCCUAAUCCUUCGGAUAGCAAUUCCAUCAGAGUCUCAGCAACCUUUUUUGCAUGCGUGUCCCAUGCAAUCACCUCCCUCCUGCAUAUCUCCGGCAUCCGCUCAACCUCCGGCGGCUGUGGUGCCAUCCACACCUGAAGAUAGUCAUGCCAAGUCGCCGCCUCCGAUCGGUACAAAUCGUUGUUGCUGGUGUACACCACCCCGCGUCUCUCCUCACCCACGGAGAUCUUCGCCUUCACUUGAUGUGGCUGGUCGUGGAAAGACUUGACAGCGUUGACCGUCUCCUCCAGUACGGACAGGGCUACGCCGUGGUUGAUCACUUGAAAGAAACCCCAUGUCUUAGAGGCCUCUCGAAUUUGGUCCACGAUCUUGGGACGGUGAUGGGGAGAGUCCAAGUUGGAAAGAUCUAUUACCGGGAUGUGGAUGGAGGAGAAGGAAGAGGAAGAUGUGGGUUUGAGUUGGGAGAGAGUUUGGGGUGGGUGUAUGAAGAUACGAGGGAUGGAAGUGAUGCCAGAGUCAGAGAGACCUUUGACGCCUAUCUUGGACUCAGAGAACUCCUUCACUUCCUUCAUUCGGUCGUAAUCGGCGGAUGCCAUAGUCUUCAGUUUGGAUCUAUCUGCCUGCUGCCUACGGCCCUCACCAGAGUCACCACUCGAUCGCUUCUACACUUUUACCUCACUUAUGCACUACUUAGCCUUCAAUGUAGCCUAUUCUUAAACCUUCACAAUCUAUAUUUAUUAUAUUAAAUAUCGUAUUGUUUGAAUUAAUUUGUAUGGAAAAUUAUUAUUUAAAAUAAAUUGAUAAAGCAGAAAUAAUGUAGUUGACGACGUUGACAGAUGGACAAUUGUUCAACCAAUUGUCUGGAAAAUUAUUAUUUAAAAUAAAAGAAAUAAAUAGAUAAACCAGAAAAAAUGUAGUGGACGAUGUCGACAGAUCAGAUAAUUGUUCAGCCACUUUGAACUGGAGUCCCAGUCAUGCGACAUCUCAGCGGCUCCAAAUUCAAAACACCUACCUUAUCCACACGCGUUGCAGGUUUCUUCUUGUAGACACACCAAUGAUUUGACAAGUCUCCGCCAUUGCCCGUCAGCUAAUCAGUGAUGAAAUAACUUAAAAAGUUUAUCAAAAUGCUUAAAAACUUGGCUAUUAUAAUGGGUUAUGCCUACGCAUUAUCCUCUUAAUUUUUUUAUGCUUAUAUUGAAUGUAUAGGUAAUAAUUUCCUUUCAUAUUUAGCAGUACAUGUUUAUUUAAAUUGAUGACUUGUUCCAAAGUUUAGAAGCAAUAUAAUAAUAGAGUAAGGUUGAUCAUCAUUACAAUUUCACGAAGAAAUAUUCAAACUAUGAAGAUCGUGUGACUAAAAUAAAAUUAAUAUAAAAAUGAUGAAAUCAAUUUUUCAUUUUUAAAAAAAAUAAAUUAAGUUAUGCUAAAAAUAUUGUAAAAUGAAUUUUAUGUAUAUAAUUUUUUUUUAUUAAAGGGGCUACCUAUUCACCCCUCCAAAUAGUUAUAUAACUUGAGAUCACACCAAUCCUUAACAAUAAAUCAUUUUUAAUAAAAUAUGAAGGCCAAUAUUAUAAUAAAAUAAUAAAAUAUAUUUUUAUUAAAAAAAUUAUUUUAAUAUAUAUAUAUAUAAGUGAUAUUAAGGAGUAAAAGUGAAAAAUAUUAUUUAAAUAAUUUUUAUUUUUCUUUCUUUAUCUUUUAUCCUUUAUUGGAUAACGAAAAAUAAAAACAAAAUAAACAUUGUACAAUUAAAUUGAAAAUAUAAAUUCUUACUUUUGUUGAAUUUAUAAAAGUUGGAGAAUGAGAGAGUUUGUUCUUCUCUUAUGAUUUUUAUGAUUCUUUCCUUUUGAUGUCUCUCUUUAUUUCAUACCUCCCUUUUUAUACAAAAACUCUUUAUAAGAUGACAAUAAAAAUAUCAAUGUACGAGGCUUCUCAUAAGAUAUUAAAUGGGGCACGAUUAUUUUUUCAUAAAGGAAGUGAGGCAAUGGGAUUUGUAUGUUUAUGUGCAUAAUUUGACAUGGUGUAUGUAUUUACUUGCAUAGCACAAAUAUAUUUAUGAGUAUACUCUCUGUUUUUUUUUUCUCUCUAUUUUUUCUUUAUAUUUUCUUCUUUUGAUAUGAUUAAUUUUUUACAAAACUACUUUAAUAUGAUAGAUCAUUUAUAUCCACUUUAGAUUUUAUAGUUGAGAUUAUAGUUAUUGCUUUGAAGUCAUUCUAUUACAUUUUGUAAGUUCUGAUACCUUUCUUCGUCAAAGUUGUCUGAAAAGUACUCUACAUCAUCACUAAGAUAAAAAGAUUGAUUCUAGCUUUCUUCGUUUAAGUCAUUUCCCACUUCAGUUCUUAUUAAAGAACUAAUGGCUCUUUAUUAUGUUUUAUAUACAUACAAUGGAAAGUUGGUACCACUAACCCAUUGGUUUGAAAUAAAAGUAAAUGUUUUGAAAAGAAAUAUCAAGUUAUCAACUUGUUUUUCAGUUUUAAGUAGAUAGGUUAAAAUAUUUAUAAAUUUUUGAGGAAAAUUUUUAAGGAUUUGAGAUACUUGAUGAAAAUAUUUUUUAUAGAAUUUCCUAAUCGAUAAGCUAAGGUAAGAGAAAUAUUUUCUCUAAGGAAAUGAAAAAUAAAUUUUUAUUUGUUGCAGCAAGAUAAAAGAGAAAACAUAAAAUAGAAAACACUAAUUUUUUUUGUGCAAAGACCAAAUUUAUUUUAGAAAUUAAUAUAUUAAAGUAAAAAAUUUAAAACAUCACUUCACAUCAAGGUAAAUCCCUCUUUUUGGCUAAACUAAAGUCUCUCUAAACAAGUCAAUUUUUGAAAGAACAAAAAAAAAAAAAAAAAAAACCAAUGGUCAUAGGGUUAAAACUAAAAACUUUAGUUUUAAAAAUAAUUUUAAUAUUAUAAAAUCUACUAGAAUUUGAUAUUUGUUUAUAGCUCUUAAUUUUUUACGUUGAAUAUAUAACUAUUAUAUAUAUAUAACAUACUGUAAACCUCAAAAUUUGUCCCAAUUUGAUCUUUACAUUAAUUUUGAGUUCAAUUUUAAAUAUCGAUUACAUGUGUUAUUUUAGAUCCACCCUUUAAUUUUUAGUUUUCAUUAUUUUAUAAAUUAUUUUUUUAUUUAUUAAUUUUAUUUGUUAUCAUUAUUAUUAUUUUUAUUUUUUUUUCUUAUCUCUCUUCUUUUCUCCUCCAUCUACCCUCACCCACCCACUUCUUCUCUCUCCUCCCAUACUCCUCACCACCAGCCACUUUUCAUUUCUCCCUCAAAUUUUUUUCCCUCCCACUCUUCUCUCUCUUCCCCAAGACUUCCUUUCACCGGCCCCCCCUCCCUCCAUUUUUUCCCCUCAUUUUUUUCUCUCCUCUCUUCUCUCUCCUCCGACCUCUCUCCUCCAAUUGGGAAGACAACCAACCCCCGGAAUUUUUUUUGGGAGAGCUCCCAGGCUUUUCUCCAUUUUUUUCCCUUCCCUCACCGUUCACUGGAUCUCCGCAUUUCCUCCCUCCCAUUUUUUUUUUUCUCUUCUCUCCCCCAUCGGCACACUCGGGUGAUCCCCCGACUUUUUUUUUUCAUUUAUUUAUUUACUAUUAUUAUUAUUUUCUCUUUCCCUCCUUGAACUCUCACACUGCCGGCGGCGUGACGCCAGUGCCUUUUCCGGCACCCCCUUCAUCCCCAUUUUCUCCCAUUUUAUUUAUUUAUUUAUUUAUUUUAUUUUUAUUCUAUAUUUUUUUUAUUUCCAAAAAGCUAUCCACUGCCGCCGGCAAGGUCACCGGCCGGUCACCGCGGGCGAGUCCCCUGGGCCUGCGACCUCCUCCCUUUUUCUCUUUCUCUCACUUCCCCGUAUCACUCAUUUUCCAUUAUUAUUAUUAUUAUUAUUAUUAUUAUUAUUAUUGUUAUUUUAUCUUAUUUUAAUAAUAAUAGUUGUUUGUGAAAUUUGGAUUGUUGAAUUAAUUUGAAAUUUGUAAAUUUGGGUUUAUGGGCAUAUUGCAUGAUUAAUUUGGGAUAUUUGGAUUAUAUCACUUGCAUAUUGUUUACUUGGAUUUGGGCCUAUUGUUAAGUUGUUAAUUGUUUGAACUUAUUGGAUUGAGCUUGAAAUAUUAUUUCACAUAACCAUGUAUAUUUUAUGUGGACUUGUUAAUUGAUGUGAAUUUUGGGAUCCAUAAUGUGGGUGAGAUUUGUUAGAUUAUUUGAAUAUUUGUUAUGGGUUUGAUCAUCGUGAAUUAUUUAAUUUGGACAUGAAACAAUUGUGGUGUAUAUUAAAUUAAGCUUGCAUUAUGGAAUAUUAAAUUUAAGACUAGUAGAAUUUAUUUUAAUUUAUCCAAUUUUAGAUUUGGUUGAUUGUGUUUGUAUUUUUAGUUAUUAAUUUGGAUGUUCUGGGUUAAAACCUAUAGUAAUUUGGGCUUAUUUUAAUUGGCAAAAUUUAUGGGACUAAUUUGAAAUUGGAAUUUGGGUUUGAAUAUUUGUUUGAGGUUUUGUACAUCUUUGGAUAUUUACAUUUAUGUUAUUCUUGUUUUUGCAUGGACCUACUCUACAACCUUGUUGGCCGAGUACAAAUUGAUCACACGUGGAGUUUAUUGUAAGUUUAUUUGAGUACAUAUUUUAUUUCCUACUUUUAUUUGAUUUUAUUUUUAUUAGUUCUUGUAAAUAUUUGUUCGUAUAUAUUUAUUGAGUAUGCGAGAAUUGAACAUUGAACAAACUAGAAUUUUUUUUAAAUGAGAGGACAAAGUUGUUUUAAUAAAACAAUAAUUUUAAAAUAUUAUUUUAAUAAAAAAAAGUUUAUAUAUAAAAAUUCAAAAAAAUGCAUUUAGAAAAAUCCAAAAGAAAUGUUUUUAAUGGAAUUUGAAAAUUUGUUUUUAAAUAAUAUUCGUCUAAAAAUUUCUUUGUUUAAUAAAAAUUGUCAAAAUAUUGUUUUGUAAAUAAAGUUGUCCCAAAAUUUAAUUUUUAAUAAAAUUGUCUAAAAAUAUUUUUUUCAAAUGAAUUCUUUUUCUUUAAUUAAAAUGGGAUCAAAAGUGAUAGAUGAUUUAAAUCUUUGUUUUUUUUUCUUUUUUUAAUUAAAAUUUCUUUUGCAAUAAAGUUAUGUCAUUUUAAAUAAUUUGUAAAAAUCACUUUUUUUAAAUGAAAAUGAAUUUAAAUACUUUUGUAAAUAAAAUUGUAAAAAUUCAUUAUUUUUUAGUAAAAAUAAUUUUUGUGUCCAAAUUGAAAUUUUGUAAUAAAUUAUUUUGAUACAAUAAGUGUAAAUAGUUUUUUUUUAAAAAUUAAAUACAAAUGAAAUUGAGAAAAUAAACUGAUUUUUUUUUGUAAGUAAAUAAAUUGCAAUCAUUAAUUCAAAAUCAUUUUUAAUAAAAUCCUUUGAAAUUUCUUUAAAACUUUUUAUUUAAUUUAAUAAAUCAUUUUGCAUAAUUCUCUUAUCAUUUAUUUUGUAUAUUCUUGUAAUUAGAUUUCAUCAUCAUUUUUGUGUAUAUUAAUUUUCACCCUGACUUGUACAUUGAUUAUUUUUCUUGGUAUCCAUAAUUAAUUAAUUAAUUGUCAUAAUUUCUUCAAUUCGUUUAGUAGAGACCGUAUGUAUACAGGUUUAGGGGGGUGUUACGGUUCAUCACCGUACCUUUCCAAUAAGUAACUUGACCCUCGAACCCAACUUCGGUUUUUCACGGACCUGUUUUUUUUCCUUUAGGAGUCAAAUUUAGAGUUUUUCUUUUUUAUUUUGUUUUUCCCUUAAAAAAUAAAACAAAAAAAAGUGGGACUCCAAGUCUUUUUUUAAAAAUCAAAUUUUCACCAAAUAAAUAGAAAGCGAUUAUCGCCAUCAAGUGGGAAUGCAUUGAGAAAAAAUACGAGGUCCACACAUACUUUUUUAUUUAAAUUGAUGUCAUGUUCCAAAGUUUAGAAGUAUUAUAUUAAUAGAGUAAAAUUGAGCAUUACAAUUUCACAAAGGAAUAUUGAAACUAUGAAGAUUGUGUGAUUAAAAUAAAAAUAAUAUAAAAUAUUAAUAUAAAAAAUUAUAAAAUCAAUUUUUUAUUUAAAAGGAAAAUAAAUAAAGUUAAUCUAAAAAUAUUAUAAAAUGAAUUAAAUUUUUUGAAAUAAUUUUCAUAUAUAAUCACUUUUUAUUAAAGGGGACUAUCUAGUCACCUCUCUAGAUAGUUCAAUAAAAUAAUUUUCAUAUAUAUAUAUAUAUAUAUAUAUAUGAAAAUAAUUAUGUUUAGUCACGUUAUAUUUAAAAUGAAUAUAAAAGUAAGCAAAAUUUAUUUAUUUUUUAAUUGUAAAUGAUUAAAAAAAAUUAUAUGUAUAUAUUUAAUACUCAAUUAAGAAUAGAAUAUUUUAAACUAAUUUUGAUUUAAUUUUAAUUUUUAAAAUUUCAAAUUAUUCUUAGAAAUUGAUAAAUUUAUUGAAAAAUAUAAAAUCAUGAAGCUUAUUUUGCUCUCAUUUGAUUUAGAAUUUAUUUGUUGGUGAUAACAUUUGAAAAAAAAAAUGGCCAGGUAGAAGAAAUGGUAGAGUCCAUAAUUCAAUUUAGAUUAGUUGUAUUAUUGAUUCUAUUUUUGAGUUACAAAUUAUUUUUAAAAAUUACUAAUCUCAUUAAUAUAUUCAAAUAUAGCUUCAUUUGGAGAUAUUUUUGGAAUAAGAAAAUUCAUAAAAAGUAUAGUUACGUGUAGAUCAUUCUAUAUUAGUUUUAGCAUGUGAGUUUUAAUUAGUGUUGAUUGAACUUUUUGUUUUUAAUACUUUUUAAAUUUUAAAAUUGGAAAAGUGGCGUACAGUGCGCAUAUGGCCAUACAAUAUGCAGUGGAAAUUAAUGGCCAUGACGUAGGACGGCAGGAGGAGGAGGCACCAUUGGCACAAGGAAAGGGCCAGAGGCUUUUGGAAUCUCGGCACUGGGCUUUAUGAAUAACGUACUCUCAUUUUACAACUUUUUUUUGUUUUGUUUUUUUUUGUUUUUUUUAAAAAAAGAUUAUAUUUAAAAGUAAAGUCAUAAUUUUAAUAUUGUAAAAUUUAUUAAACUUAAAGUAAGUUAAGAAAAAAAAAUUCAAAAGAUAAGUACUUUUAUGUUCUUUUAAGUCCUAAAUUCUUUUAAGAAAAUUAUCUAAAUAUCUUUGCCAACAACGGGUCAUCUGGAAACCAACAACAUUUUCACAUAAUGGACUCUGCACUUCAAAGUCAGACAAUAGUUUCAGAUUUAAUUAGAAUAAAGGGAGAAUUGUGUUUUAGGCUCAGUUGGAUUCAAAAAUUAACAUUUGGUCUAUAUAACUUCCAUAAUUGAUGAAAAUGAUAUAAGAUGUUAAAAGACCAAUAUAUUCUUCAAAUUUCUAUACAUUACUUUUUAAGGAUAUAAAAUACUGAUGAACUAAAAUACCUAAUGAUCUUUUACAUAAGCUUUUUUUGUCUUUAUUGUACCACUAUUCAUGCAACCAUAAUAAUUCUAUUUUAACAAUUUGGAUUUUUCAUUAUUUUUAAUUUUUUUUAAUAAAUAAUUGAAAAUCAACAUUAUUUUCUAUUUUAAAUUAUAAAUAAAGAAAAAUUAUGUUCAAAAACUAUUUAAAAAAAUACUUUCUAAAAAAUAGUAAUAUGAUUUAUAUUUUUUAUAUUUUCUUUUUUUUAAAACAUUUAAUUAAAAAAUGAAAACUAUUUUUAAAAAUAAAAAUUGAAAACCUUGUUUAGUAUUAUUUUUUAUAUGAAAAUAAUAAAAAGAAUUAAAUUUAAUUAAUUGAUUAUCCAUUUUUAUUUUUUUCCAUUAGUUAUUUUAAUAAUAAAAAAAAUAUAGUAUGUUUACAAUUAAACAAAGAAAUUGAUCAAUUAUGUGUUUUUUGUGGGACUACUUUUACAUAAAAAAUAAUUAAAUAACUAAAUUAUAUAUAUUUAUUACUCUUUUUAAUUUUAUUUUCUUUAUUUAUUUUUUGUCUAAUAAAUUUUUUUCAUAUAUCCAUAAUUAACAAAAUAAUAAAUCAAUUGUGCACAUUUUAAUCUAUUAAAAUAAAUUAUUUCUAAUUUAAAUAAAUAAAAUGAAAUAAGUAAAUAAAUUUUGAGUUAUUUCUAUUUUUUAACAUAUCUUAUAUCAACAUUUUUAAUGAUUAAAUAAAUUUUUUAUUUUUUAUUUCUUUAAUUCCAAAAAUAAAAUGAAAUAAAUAAAUAAAUUUGGAAUUUUCUAACUGAUCUUAUAUUCAUAUUUCUCAUGGUUAAAUAAAUUUUUUAAUCUUUUUUCUUUAUUUUCAAAAAUAAAAGGAAAUAAAUAAAUAAACUUGGCUUAAAUAAUAGUUUUUAAGUAAUUUCUUUGUCUUAUUUUUAAUUACAUUUUGCAUUGAAAAUAAAAUAAAAUAACGUUUUAUUUGAGUCACUGUACAAGGUAUUUAAACUAAGUGUACAUUACAAAUAUACUAACUGUACAAGGGUAUACAAGACUAUUAUUUGUAAAAGAUUUUAAGUGAUUCUGAAAAACUUGUUUGUUUAUUUCUCCUAACCGAAGAUAAAUGACAUUUCUUACACACAUUGGUUAAGCAUACAUUCAUCUCAUACACUUUAUCUAACUUGUAUAUGGUCAUUUGAAUAAGCACCUCACUUAUGAUGAUUGUAAAACAAAAUUAUACAACAAUUUUUCUUCUUUUUUAAAACCAAACCAAUGCAAACAUGGUUAACCGAUCUAUUGUCAAAUAUUCAUGAGAUGAUGUAUGAAAUUUGAGUUAUUGUACAAGGGUAUUACACUAACUGUACAAAGACAAAUUUACUAAUUAUACAAGGGUGUACAAUACUACUUUUUGUUAAGGAUUUCAAGUGAUUUUGAAAAACUUUCCCAUUUUUUUCCACUCAAAUAUUUUUUCCCCACUCAAGAAUUGUUUCGAAUUUUAUUUUUAAAUUUCAUCAUCAAAUUUUUGCAAUUGCAUAUUUUGUUUUUGUAGUUUUAGCAAUGUUAUUUCUUUCUACUAUUUUUUUUUUUUUUUUUGUGAAAUUUUAUCCAAAUGAAUCUAUAUUUAAAAUUAUAAUCAUAUUUAUCAAAUUUUUUACUAAGAUUAUCUUUAAUUCUUUUAAUAUAUUUAUACUCAUUUAUUUAAAAAAUGAAAAACUAAUUUUUUUUUCUAAAUAUGUUCUAUUACCUUUCAAGUAAAAAAAAUUAGAUAAGUUUGAAAGUCAAUAAAAAAAAUUAAAUACCACUUUCAAUAAUUUUUAGAUAAAAAUUUAUAUUAAAUAUUUUAUUUGAAAUUUAAUUUCUAAAGUUUUACUAAAAAAUUGUACUGACAAUUUUCUUGUUAUGAAUCAAAAUAUUUUGCAUUAGUCUAUCUAGAUAAGAAAAAUUAUUAAUAUAAUGUUAGAGAAAAAUAUAAAUGAAAGGGUAAUAUAAAUUUAAAAUAAAAAUUUAAAAAUUAAACUAAAAGAUAAAUACAAAAAGAUAAAAAAUAUUUGGAUGAAAAAUCUCAAAAUUUUUAUCAUUGCUUAUAAUAAGAGCAAAAAGAUUCAAUAUCUUUAAAAAUGAAAAACAAAAAAACAUUAUUGCUUUUUAUUUGAUAUAAAAUAGAAAUAUAGAUUGGAAGAAAAAAAAAAGUUAGAAAUGAGUAAUACUUAAAAAGGAAUAGAAAAGGGAAAAAAACAUAAAAAAAAAAAUUGAAAUUCACACUCACUUAUACCUAUGUAAGAGUUAAGGGUAUUUUAGGGAUUAAUGAAGGAUAAUAUCCUUCAUCUUAAUUUUUAUACUUUGUUUGGGUCUUGGACUUAAACAUGCAUGAUAUAUGAACCAAAUGUUAAUUUUUGGGUCCAGUUGGGCCCAAAACACAAUUUUUCCUAGAAUAAAAGGGUUUGGAUUGAAGUGUGGGUUCGAGUUCAGUUUUCCUUCUAGCUAAGACGUCACUUCAAUCCGUAGUUUAAAGUAUAAUGUAAUUUUCCUUUUUUUUUUUUGUCUUUUGCUUUAGUGGCUGACAGUGGUGGAGGCAAGGAGUGCCUAGAGAGGGCAUUUGGCAAAUUCCUGCUAAAAAUACAAUAGGUUGUCGGAAUUAAACCCAUAAUCUUAAGUUUUCUAAUAAUUAGUUUCCUUAUCAUUAAAUUAUAUUAGAAGUAUGAUGCUAUUAUUAUGGGACCCUUUAAGCAAGGUCGUCCAUCAUUCAUUCGCACUUGCAACUGUAUAGUGGAAAUACAUUUGCGAUCGUCUGCCUGAAGGGUCCUGAGGCCCUGUGGAUGACCCAUCUAUCCCAGAACUAAAAUGAAGAUAAACGAUCCUUAAACGGAAAUAACACAAAUGGUAUUUGACUAACCUUCAUGCAUUUACUCACCUUCAAACGUAGAUUGUGUACAAAACACUUUCCAUAAUUAUGCAUUAGUAGUCAAUGCUGUAAUAUUGCAUAAUCAAGAAUAAUUAAAUUGUUAUUAAUACGUCUUAAAAGGCGUUAUGAGUAAGGAUAAAUAGUUAUGCAUACGCACAAUCCAAGAAAGGUAUGUUAUUUUUUUCUUUCGAUAAACAGUAUUUACUUGCUCAAGCCAAUUACUGACUUAAAUCUAUUCAGACAUUCUUUUUGUGCAACCAUCUGCAUCUUGAGCAACUUAGAUGGAGAAACAUAGUUGAUCGUUCCAUGUAGCCCUUGAGAGCUAGACGGCCACCUCGAAUUGGACCGUGCACCAACAAUUAUGCCCCUAAAAUAAGUUUCAUAUAAUUCCCCUCCACCACUUUCUUGGCUUGUGGGCAGAGCCAAAGAGUAGCUAGAGGCUUGCGCCCUGAAAUUUUAUUAAAAACCUUUGUGGUUAGUGGGCGGAGCCAAGGUACUCCUCCCGAAAUUUUGUUUUAUUAAAAACCUUUUUGGUUGGUGGACGGAGCAAGGUACUCCUCCCGAAAUUUUAAAAAUAUAGUAGGUAGUGGGAAAACCACUUUUCUGGCUACGCCCCUAGUAACAGACGUGGUUUAAAGCAUAAUUUUACAAGACAAAGAAAAACGCAUCCCAUAGUUGGAGACGAUCUCCAAGCUCAUAAAUUUUUUUUUCCACAAUUACAAUGUGAAAACCCACAUGACAGCAAGACCAAAUCUAUUACCACAUAAUGAUAGUAAUUUUAUAUUGUAAUCUUAUCGAUGAAGGACUUGCUGUCUAGUCCCUUGCAAUAGAAGUUGUCGUUGUAUUCUUUCUGUGUCAAAUUGCUAUAAAUUGCAGGUUUUUCAGGAGAAAGCAACUCUGGUAGAGGUCCAUAAGAGUCAGAGUCUUUCCAUUUCGCUAAGUUGAAGAACAUCACAAUCGAGAUCCGUGGCUCUUUACAGGGGUUGGCUAUCACUCGAUUUUAUUUAUAUCUCAUUAUUAUAUAAAAUAAGGUUUGUUCUCUUUGAAGAGAAAAGUUUAGAAAUGACAAACUAAAACUUCAUUCCACUGCAUCACAAUAAAUCAAAAUAUACUUCUGAUUUAUUUUUCUUGAUGAUUUAAAAUUAUCUUGAUUCUAAGUUAAAAUAUAUGAUUUUGAUUUUAGGUUAUAAUAUACGGCCCUCACCAGAGUCACCACUCGAUCGCUUCUACACUUUUACCUCACUUAUGCACUACUUAGCCUUCAAUGUAGCCUAUUCUUAAACCUUCACAAUCUAUAUUUAUUUUAUUAAAUAUCGUAUUGUUUGAAUUAAUUUGUAUGGAAAUUUAUUAUUUAAAAUAAAAGAAAAAAUUGUGGUUGACGAUGUUGACAGAUCUGAAUAUUGUUCAAUCACUUUGAACUGGAGUCCCCGUCAUGCGACAUCUCACCGGCUCCAAAUUAAAAACACCCUACCUUAUCCGCAUGCGUUGCAGGUUUCUUCCACCUAUAGAUGUUCUUCUAGACACUCCAAUGAUCUGACAAAUCUCCAACAUUGCCCGUGAGCUAAUCAGUGAUGAAGUAACAUAAAAAGUUCAUAAAAAGGCAGGUUUCUUCCACCUAUAGAUGUUCUUCUAGACACUCCAAUUUGAUUUGACAAAUCUCCAACAUUGCCCGUGAGCUAAUCAAUGAUGAAAUAGCUUAAAAAGUUUAUAAAAAUGCUCAAAACACCUUUGUUGGGAAAUUAUUACAUUGUGUCCACAUAGCUUGAUUAAUUGUAAAUGAUUAACUAUAAUUUAAGUGAUUAGAUAAGUUUUCAUUUAUUUAUUUAUUCUGCACAUGCAUCUCAUUAAGUGUGAUGAUUAGAUAAGUUUUUAUUUAUUUAUUUAUUCGGCUUACACAUGCAUCUUAUUAAGUAUGUGUUUUAAUAUAUAAAGAUCACCUUAUUUUAUUUUAUUUUAUUUUUAUGAUAAAUCAAAAAUAAAAUAAAAAAAUAUGAAUAAGUUGAAAUCUUCGGCCUAAACAGAUAAAAGAUUUUAUUUAUAUCUCAUUAUUAUAUAAAAUAAGGUUUUUUCUCUUUGAAGAGAAAAGUUUAGAAAUGACAAACUAAAACUUCGCAUCACAAUAAAUCAAAAUAUUAUAAUAAAAUAAUACUUUUUUUUUCUUCUCUUUUCUUUCUUUCUAUGUUUUCCUUCUCUAUUUUCUUUUUUUUUUUUGACAUUUUCUUUCAAUUUUUUGAAACAAAAAAAAAUGAAAGAAAAAUUUUAAAAUAAUAAAUUAUUAGUAUUUGUUAUUUCAAAUUUAUUUAAUUACUUUAAUUUUUUAUAAAAUAAAAUAAAAUGAAAAAUUAUUAACUAAUUUGAACUAUAUUUGAUUUUUUUUAUGAUAAAAUAAAAGAUUGGAAAAAACAGCUUUCUUAACAUUAUUUUUUAGUACAUUUUGGAAACCAAAAGUAGCCUUAAUUUUCUCUGCUGGCUCAACCAAUUGCUAAUUUCUUUGAGGAAGAGGAUUAGCCCUGAAAGAAUAGCUAGCCAUGAUCCCACCCUUUGAAAUAUGGCCAACGAAAUACCUAUAAAUAGAGAUAAAUGGUAGAGUGAAGCCCAUAAUUAUUUUUCCAAUAAGCAAGUACAGACAGAAUGAGCAAUCCCAUUAAUUCACGGAGCCUAAAUACUUACUCCACUCAUAAAAUAUUACAUAUAAAGAUGGUAAUCACGACCUGAUCCAUCAUCACACAAUUAUUUGUAGGAAUUUCAUAUUGUAAUCUUAUCGAUGAAGGACUUGCUGUCUAGUCCCUUGCUAUAGAAGUUGUCGUUGUAUUCUUUCUGUGUAAAGUUGCUAUAAAUUGCAGGUUUUUCAGGAGACAGCAACUCUGGUAGAGGUCCAUAAGAGUUAGAGUCUUUCCAUUUCGCUAAGUUGAAGAACAUCACAAUCGAGAUCCGUGGCUCUUUACAGGAAUUGGCUAACACUCGAUGCUGAACACUUUUGUACUCACCAUUCGACACUAUCUGCCAUACAAGUAACAAGUCAAAAAAGUACCUUGAAAAUUUUUUUGAACAAAUAUGAGCAUUGAGUUACCUGGAGAAAGUCUCCGACGUUGAUAAUCAACCCGCCAGGAACAGGCUUUACGUCCACCCAUUCAUCCCCAUGCUUCACCUGCAACCCGGGGACUUGGUUCUGCAACAAAACUGUCAACACCACCGGAUCAGUGUGAGAUAUAAUCCCCAUCGUCAAAUCAGGCUGUGGACAGUAGGGAUAACAGUGCCCCACCAAAACCCUAGUAUCAGAAAAAGUCAACUCCUUAAACUUGCCGGAUUCUAACCCUAAUCCUUCGCAUAACAGUUUCAUCACACUCUCAGCAACCGUUUUGGCACGCGUGUCCCAUGCAACCACCUCCCUUCUGCAUAUCUCCGGAAUCUGCUCAACCUCGAGCGGCUGUGGUGCCAUCCACACCUGAAGAGAGUCGUGCCAGCUCGCGGCCUCCGAUCGGUACAAAUCGUUGUUGCUGGCGUACAUCACGCCGCGUCCCUCCUCACGCACGUAGUGCUUCGCCUUCACUUGCUGUGGCUGCUCGUGGAAAGACUUGAUAGCGUUGAUCGUCUCCUCCAAUGCGGACACGGCUACACCAUGGUUGAUCACUUGAAAGAAACCCCAUGUCUUAGAGGCUUCUCGAAUUUGGUCCACGAUCUUCGGACGGUGAUGGGGAGAGUCCAAGUUGGAAAGAUCUAUCAUAGGGAUUCCGGGGGAGGAGGAAGAGGAAGAAGAUUUGAGUUGGGAGAGGGUUUGGGGUGGGUGUAUGAAGAAACGAGGGAUGGAAGUGAUGCCGGAGUCGGAGAGACCUUUGACGCCCAUCUUGGACUCAUCGAACUCCUUCACCUCCUUCAUUCGGUCGUAAUCCGCGGACGCCAUAUUCAUCCGUUUCUAUCUGCUGCCAAGUUCUUGUUCGUGACUGAAUAUACCUUGCUCACUUACAGUGAUUUAUAAUUGUGAAUGUUUAUCUACCCUCAUCUUCCAAUAUUAAAUAAAAUUUACAACCACCUUACCCAACCAUUAUCAUAUCAUUUGAGCAGAGAUAAAUCACUAUGAUCAAACUCAACCAAUCAGGCUGAGUCUCCACAAAGAUAUAUUUAUAUAUCUUUGUGGCCCCCAAUUCUGACUGUUUGCAAUGAUCGGAUCACUCGAAAUGAAAAACUACCAUUCCUAUCCACACUAAGAAGUCCGUGUUGCAGGUGCGUUCAACCACUGGACAAGGUCCUCCACGCUCUCUAACUACUCACAAAACCACGAGUUUCAAUUCUUAAAUGGGGCUGUUUUAGUGAAAAUUACUCCAAAGCAAGUGGCCAUUGAUAAUCAUAUUGACGUCAUUUCAGUUUUCUUUUCUAUAUUAUAUUGAUAUUUGACAACGUCUACUGGACCGUGAAACUAGGCUACACCCAACCGAGCCCAAUCCUCGUUUGAAAAGCCUUGUACAUUUAUUUUCAAUUAUUCUCUCAACUUGAGUCUAUCAACUUCUAAUGAGUUUUUUUAACUCAAAUUAGAGUUCAGGUUCAAUAUAAUGUUUCUAUAAUAUGCGCUCCCCUAUUAUAUGAUAGGUUUGUUCUUUUUUUCAUAUAUAGAAAAAUAUAUAAAUUUAUUUUUGUUGCAUUUUGUCCUAUUUACUAUUUAAAUUAUUAUAUGAAUAUAUAGAAAAAUAUUAUGACAAAAAUAUUGUUACAACAAAUGUGAGAUUUAAUAAAAAAAUUCUUCUAUCUACAACUAAAAUUUCGUACUCUACAAAAUAGAGAUUUUAUCAUAAAAUUUUUUUUAUUAAGUUUUUCUUUAAAAAACUGAAAUUUGUCUCUAGAAAUUGCUACUCUCAUCGUAUGGUGAGGAAUUCUUUUAUGUAGACAAAAUGUACAUAUAUUAAAUGUGAGAUUUAAUAUAGAAAAAUAUUCUGACAAAAAUAUAGUUACAACAAAUGUGAGAUUUAAUAAAAAAAUUCUUUUACCUGCAACUAAAAUUUCGUCAUUAAUUAUGAAUUUUACUCUACGAAAUAGAGAUUUUAUCAUAAAAUUUUUGUUAUUAAGUUUUUCUUUAUAAAACUGAAAUUUGUCUCUCAUCGUAUGGUGAGAAAUUCUUUUAUGUAAACAAAAUGUACAUAUUUAUGAGAAAUUUAUUUGUCACUGAUUUUCAAUGUCUAAUGAUAAAUUUUUUUGUCAUUGAAUCUUCAAUCAUUUGAGGACGAUCCAUUACAUGCAUUACAAUUUAUAAUUAGAAAAAGGGAAAGAAAGAAAGAAGAAAACCCGGAACUUUUUUAUUUUGGAUCUGGGCCUCCUCGAUCUUAGUUCAUUUGAGGACGAUGCAUAGUCCAUGCAUUCAGCUUCUUAAUGGUGACAGCCUCUGUUCCAUUGUUGAAUGCAUAUAGAUGAGCCUUCUUCGAGACUGCUAGAGUAGGAUAAACCCUAGAUGUGAUGCAUGUUUUUCCUCCAGCCCCGAAACUUUCCACUACAGAAUGGUCGAUCUGUGUACAGAAAAAGAGUUAUACUAGAAUAAAAAUGUCGUGAGUGACAAUAGAGAUGGUUUAGACUAUAAGAAUCAAAACACGUACCAAACUUCUAAGGGAGAGCAUCCCAUCUUUUAAAUCUACAUCCACAAAACCUGCGAAUGAUGGUUUGUAUAGUUCUGUCCGUAACGAGGAACUGUUCAAAGAAGCAAAUUAAGGAAAACCUAGUUAGAAGGUUGAUGGAGAUUAAGCAUUAACGUAAUGAACUGUACUGAGACUGAAAUGGAUAAACCCACCUUUUCGCAUCAGAGCACAUAAGGACUACAUGCUUGCCUUUGGCCUUGAAGAUUCUGAAGAAGACAGGAGUGUACUCUUCAAGGUGUUCUGAAGCCAAUGUCAACAGUCCAAAGGGUCCAACCCCACCUUGAACAGUUGAACCCUUCAUGCCGCAGAGAUCUUGUGCGUUAACCCAGCUAGGAUCGAAUUCUUCAGCCUUGUCCAAGCUCGGCAAAGAGAAUGUAACUUCAACAUCGGCCUGCAAAUAGUAUUUGGAAUUUACCAUUAACUGCAAUCUUUUUUCCAGAAAUGAACUUCCCCAAGAAGUAAAAGGGCUAAAAUUUCUUGUGCUUCAAACAGAAGACUGGGAAGACAAACCUGUGCGGCUGUAAUUCCUGUGAUUUCAACAUUUUCCCCAAUCUUGAGCUCUUGAUUCCUCACCUGAAUCUUUUGCCCUCUUAGUGUAUUUAGUUCUUCAAUGGGCCAUUGUAACAAUUGUUUUUUACCCUUGUCAAGCCAUAGGGUCCUUGGAAUUGUCUGAGCCAGCAAAAGUUCAACAACGUAAGUUCCUAAUCAACUAAUGGAAUGUCCUAAAAACAUUGACAAUCGAUCGUUCAUAAAUAUUACCUGAAUUCCAGCCCAUCCUUUUGCAGUAUCAUUGUCUGCUGUAUCUGACUCAUUAGCCCAACCCCACAAAAUCCUCCGUUUCUGCUCGGCAUCAAAGAACGUUUUCGAAGCAUAAAAAUUGCCAUAAUCAUACCUCAACCCACUCCAACCAUCAGCAGAGGUGUUGCCCGGUAUAUACCUAUCUAUUUCCGGAUAAUAUCUUCCAAUUGUAUAGUACUCAUAUCUAGUUCGGUCAAGGCUCACCUUCAAAACAUGUCUAACAUUUUUACCCGUUACUGAUGUGUCUAACCCCCUUUCACUAUACAAAGAAACAGGAAAAAAAUCAGGACAUUCCCACAUUCCGGUAUUCUGGGCAGAAUGAAGAGGAUGUUUUGAUUUUAUCCAUGUCAUGAAAUCUCUACUCCUAUACAAAUAGACUAUCCCUCUAUGCUUCUUUCUGGCACCCACCAACAUCCUCCAAUGCCCAUUCACCCGCCAAGCAGUUGUUGGGUCACGGAAUGUGCUUGCAUUCAUGCCAACAUCAGGAACCACUAGUGGGUUGCUGUCGGGUUUCACCCAUUUCCUUAGGUAUGGAUCCGAGAGGUUGGCUGGAAAUGCAAUGUUCUGGACUUGCCUUUGUUGUGUGUCGAUUCCAGUGUAGAGAAUUGCAGGCUUGUUACCAGGCAAGAUGGUGGCUGAACCAGACCAACAUCCGUUUAUGUCAAACGGCUUUGAAGGAUAGAUGGCUGGCUCAAGCGCCUCCCAGUCUAUCAGAUUCCUUGAUACUGAGUGAGCCCACACGAUGUUACCCCAAACUGCACCUUUGGGAUUGUACUGGUAGAAAAGGUGGUAGAUUCCAUUGUAGUACAUGGGUCCUGUUACAUUUGAAUUGCAUGAGACACAUGGACUUGAGGAAAUAGAGGUAGAUCAAAGUAGCACAAGACUCACCAUUUGGAUCUGUUGUCGGUUCAUUUCGUUCAUGGGUUCAAACGUCAAUGGAGACAGAAAAAUAGAAGUCAGUAACCGGUUGUGGAAAGUAGAAACCAUUAAAGAAAGAAAGAAAGAAAGAAAGAUGGAGGCACUCUCAUCUCUAAAAUCUCGACUAUUAAAGAAAGCCACAUCAUCUUUUAACAUCUCAAUCACCGAAAAUCAUUCAAUUUGGCUAAUAAGGAAAAAAUAGCCAUGAGUUAUCAGUGUCUCAUGAAUAAUUCAAAUCCCUUCCUAUAUCCAAAUUAAAUCAACUUUCUUUCUUUUCUAAUACUUUAUUUCUUUUUUCUUCUUCAAUGGAUAUGGCAUCGCUAUUUCUAAAAAUAACGAUAACCAUUUU